rnacentral:rRNA from 1 species
UGGUGGUCUCUGGCCAUCCGAGUUGUAAUCUAGAGAAGUGUUACCCGYGUCGGACCGUGUAUAAGUCUCCUGGAAUGGAGCGUCAUAGAGGGUGAGAAUCCCGUCUUUGACACGGACUACCGAGGCUUUGUGGUAUGCUCUCAAAGAGUCGAGUUGUUUGGGAAUGCAGCUCAAAAUGGGUGGUAAAUUCCAUCUAAAGCUAAAUAUUGGCGAGAGACCGAUAGCGAACAAGUACCGUGAGGGAAAGAUGAAAAGAACUUUGGAAAGAGAGUUAAACAGUACGUGAAAUUGCUGAAAGGGAAACGCUUGAAGUCAGUCGCGUUGGCCGGGAAUCAGCCUUGCUUUUGCUUGGUGUACUUUCUGGUUGACGGGCCAGCAUCAGUUUUGACCGGUGGAAAAAGUUCAGGGGAAUGUGGCAUCUUCGGGUGUGUUAUAGCCCUUGUUCGUAUACAUCGGUUGGGACUGAGGAACUCAGCACGCCGCAAGGCCGGGUCUUUGACCACGUUCGUGCUUAGGAUGCUGGCAUAAUGGC